rnacentral:rRNA from 1 species
AUUGAACGCUGGCGGCAGGCCUAACACAUGCCAGUCGAACGGUAACGGGAAGAAGCUUGCUUCUUUGCUGACGAGUGGCGGACGGGUGAGUAAUGUCUGGGAAACUGCCUGAUGGAGGGGGAUAACUACUGGAAACGGUAGCUAAUACCGCAUAACGUCGCAAGACCAAAGAGGGGGACCUUCGGGCCUCUUGCCAUCGGAUGUGCCCAGAUGGGAUUAGCUAGUAGGUGGGGUAACGGCUCACCUAGGCGACGAUCCCUAGCUGGUCUGAGAGGAUGACCAGCCACACUGGAACUGAGACACGGUCCAGACUCCUACGGGAGGCAGCAGUGGGGAAUAUUGCACAAUGGGCGCAAGCCUGAUGCAGCCAUGCCGCGUGUAUGAAGAAGGCCUUCGGGUUGUAAAGUACUUUCAGCGGGGAGGAAGGGAGUAAAGUUAAUACCUUUGCUCAUUGACGUUACCCGCAGAAGAAGCACCGGCUAACUCCGUG